ACGCACAGGAUGCACCGUAGUUUACUACACCGUAUUCUGUGAGUUGCGAACGGGUGAGUAACGCGUAGGUAACCUGCCUGGUAGCGGGGGAUAACUAUUGGAAACGAUAGCUAAUACCGCAUAAGAACAUUUACUGCAUGGUAGAUGUUUAAAAGGUGCAAAUGCAUCACUACCAGAUGGACCUGCGUUGUAUUAGCUAGUAGGUGAGGUAACGGCUCACCUAGGCGACGAUACAUAGCCGACCUGAGAGGGUGAUCGGCCACACUGGGACUGAGACACGGCCCAGACUCCUACGGGAGGCAGCAGUAGGGAAUCUUCGGCAAUGGGGGGAACCCUGACCGAGCAACGCCGCGUGAGUGAAGAAGGUUUUCGGAUCGUAAAGCUCUGUUGUUAAGGAAGAACGAGUGUGAGAAUGGAAAGUUCAUACUGUGACGGUACUUAACCAGAAAGGGACGGCUAACUACGUGCCAGCAGCCGCGGUAAUACGUAGGUCCCGAGCGUUGUCCGGAUUUAUUGGGCGUAAAGCGAGCGCAGGCGGUUAGAUAAGUCUGAAGUUAAAGGCAGUGGCUCAACCAUUGUAGGCUUUGGAAACUGUUUAACUUGA
rnacentral:rRNA from 1 species